rnacentral:misc_RNA from 1 species
UUAGAUAAUCGUUCGCCGAAAUGCGCUCCGGAUGUUUAGGUUACACGUGCCUGACCCGUGGCGUGAUAUAAUACAAUCAGGUCCUUGUUUAGUUAGAUUAACUCUUGGCUAUUCGAAUAUUAUCGUUAAAUAUACUAGAUAAGUUUCACUAAUUCAAGGCAUGAUGACUCUAAUGUUUGAAUGUGCGUCCAUGACACUAAUAGGUUGUCUCUUUUGUAUUUCAGGUGAGGAGUCUGAGGUGUUUACUUUGGUAAC